rnacentral:rRNA from 1 species
UUGAAAGGGAAACGAUUGAAGUCAGUCAUACCAACGGGAAAUCAACCUUUUGAGCUCGGUCUCGUGGGUUUUGAAGAGUUUCAAAGCCUUCGGAUUCGCGGGAUUGGGAUCUCUUGGUGUACUUUUUCGUACGGUUAGUCAACAUCGGUUUUGAAUGUCAUAAAAUGACUGGAGGAAUGUAGCUUCGAUCUCGUAUUGAAGUGUUAUAGCCUUUGGUAGAUGUGAUGUUUGAGACCGAGGAUUGCAACGGAUACCCUUUAGGGCUAUUCGUCUGAUCUCUGAUACGUUGCCUUGAUGUUGAAAGCUUGCUUAUGAUGUUAGGGUAUUACGGUCAAAAGGUUAGAACGGAUUAGAUUCGUUAAGGAUGUUGACGUA